UACAGAGGGGGCAAGCGUUGUUCGGAAUUACUGGGCGUAAAGGGCUCGUAGGCGGCUAACUAAGUCAGACGUGAAAUCCCUCGGCUUAACCGGGGAACUGCGUCUGAUACUGGAUGGCUUGAGUUCGGGAGAGGGAUGCGGAAUUCCAGGUGUAGCGGUGAAAUGCGUAGAUAUCUGGAGGAACACCGGUGGCGAAGGCGGCAUCCUGGACCGACACUGACGCUGAGGAGCGAAAGCCAGGGGAGCAAACGGG
rnacentral:rRNA from 1 species